rnacentral:lncRNA from 1 species
CCUUCAGUGGGGACUCCACGCCGGGGCACGUGGGCAGAGGAGAGCCAGCCCCAAUCUGCUCGUGGCUCCCAGGCCGGCGGUUGGCCUGACCCUGUGUCAGCUGCUGUGAAGGAUCCCAUGAGGAUCCCACAUGACAUUGCUUCGUGGAAUCUCUUUAAUCUCCUCCCGUCUGUGACGGUUUCUCAGCCUGCCUGCUCUGCCAUAACCGUGACACAUUUGAGGAGCACUGAAUGGUUCUUUUGUCCAGGUCCUCAGUCUGGGUCUGUCUGGUGUCUCCUCGUGAUGAGGGGGAGCACAGAGGGGAUGUGCCUCUCAGCGCACCUGUCGGCGGCCCCCGAUUUCCACGUGUCUAUUACCAGCGAUGUAACCUUGCUCACUUGACUAAGGCGAUAUGAGCCAGGAUUCUCCACCAUCAAGUUGCUCCCUUUCCCUUUGUGACUCGUAACUAUUUUGAUGGAGGUACUUUGAGAUUGUGCUGAUGUCCAGUUUCUCCUUAAACUUUC